rnacentral:rRNA from 1 species
CCCGACUGCUAUCAGAGUGGGACUAAGCCAUGCGAGUCAACAUAGCAAUAUGUGGCANACGGCUCAGUAACACGUAGUCAACAUGCCCAGGGGACGUGGAUAACCUCGGGAAACUGAGGAUAAACCACGAUAAGUCACUACUUCUGGAAUGGGUAAUGACUAAAAUCUACAUGGCCCCUGGAUUGGACUGCGGCCGAUCAGGCUGUUGGUGAGGUAAUGGCCCACCAAACCUGUAACCGGUACGGGCUCUGAGAGGAGGAGCCCGGAGAUGGGCACUGAGACAAGGGCCCAGGCCCUAUGGGGCGCAGCAGGCGCGAAACCUCUGCAAUAGGCGAAAGCUUGACAGGGUUACUCUGAGUGAUUUCCGCUAAGGGAAUCUUUUGGCACCUCUAAAAAUGGUGCAGAAUAAGGGGUGGGCAAGUCUGGUGUCAGCCGCCGCGGUAAUACCAGCACCCCGAGUGGUCGGGACGAUUAUUGGGCCUAAAGCAUCCGUAGCCGGUCCUGCAAGUCUUCCGUUAAAUCCAGCUGCUCAACAGAUGGGCUGCGGGAGAUACUACAGGGCUAGGAGGCGGGAGAGGCAAGCGGUACUUUAUGGGUAGGGGUAAAAUCCGCUGAUCCAUAGAAGACCACCAGUGGCGAAGGCGGCUUGCCAGAACGCGCUCGACGGUGAGGGAUGAAAGCUGGGGGAGCAAACCGGAUUAGAUACCCGGGUAGUCCCAGCUGUAAACGAUGCAGACUCGGUGAUGGGUUGGCCUUGCGCCUGCCCAGUGCCGCAGGGAAGCCGUUAAGUCUGCCGCCUGGGGAG